rnacentral:ncRNA from 1 species
UAUCUUUGCCUUCAAUUAGAGUAAACUACAUAAGAAUCAUUGAAAUAAUAUUGGCAUG